rnacentral:rRNA from 1 species
GAUGAACGCUGGCGGCGUGCCUAAUACAUGCAAGUCGAGCGAACAGACGAGGAGCUUGCUCCUCUGACGUUAGCGGCGGACGGGUGAGUAACACGUGGAUAACCUACCUAUAAGACUGGGAUAACUUCGGGAAACCGGAGCUAAUACCGGAUAAUAUAUUGAACCGCAUGGUUCAAUAGUGAAAGACGGUUUUGCUGUCACUUAUAGAUGGAUCCGCGCCGCAUUAGCUAGUUGGUAAGGUAACGGCUUACCAAGGCAACGAUGCGUAGCCGACCUGAGAGGGUGAUCGGCCACACUGGAACUGAGACACGGUCCAGACCCCUACGGGAGGCAGCAGUAGGGAAUCUUCCGCAAUGGGCGAAAGCCUGACGGAGCAACGCAGCGUGAGUGAUGAAGGUCUUCGGAUCGUAAAACUCUGUUAUUAGGGAAGAACAAAUGUGUAAGUAACUAUGCACGUCUUGACGGUACCUAAUCAGAAAGCCACGGCUAACUACGUG